CCAAGUGGAUCAAGGCAGUGGAUUUGUGAAUCCAC
rnacentral:tRNA from 1 species